GAGCUCCAAGUGGACCGGCUCUGGCUCCUUUGACAGUGUGUGGAUGUGUGUUGAGGGGGUAGGGGGGGACUCGGCUGGUCUCCCUGCCCGUCCAGGGCCUUCUGAUCUGGGCAUUGCCUCUUCUGUGUGUCCUCCUGGGGGUCGGAUGUGCAGGAACAUGUCUGUGGGGUAUCAGAACGGACUCAACUACAUCGCCCUGGAGCUGAGAGAGGACCGGGACUCUAACCCUCUACCCGUACCCCAGCAGCAGCAGGGAGGCACCGGGCAUGGUACCGGGGUGACCCCCAACGCCCCCCAAGCCAGUAACCUGACUGUGCCAGUAGCAGAGGACAACGGAGCCUAUGGCAGUAUAGACUUCAUCAAGUCAGACAGGAUGACUGCCACGUCCAAGGGUAGGGUUCAGGGAGAAACAGAUGUGAUAGAAAGAGGAAAGCGAGAAGGACUGAUGGAGGAAGCUGAGAAGGGAGCAUCACAGACUCCCUCUACCGUGGCCUUCAACACCCCCACACCACACUUUGAUCUUCAACCUCUCAACCUCAAGGACUCCAGCCCACGAGGUCACGCCCCCUCUGAACAACAACCGCAACAUCACCAAGACGACAGAAAACGAAGACUGAAUGCGCCACAUUUGUGUUUAAUAAUUUCAUUUUUUGCAAACUUUUUUAUUUUUGAUACCUAAAAAAAAAUCCUUCUCAGACCUGGUUCUGAGGCUGCUG
ensembl:lncRNA